GGGCGCGUAGCUCAGCGGGAGAGCAUUCCGUUCACACCGGAAAGGUCACUGGUUCAAUCCCAGUCGCGCCCACCA
rnacentral:tRNA from 3 species